rnacentral:misc_RNA from 1 species
UACAGAGAGUGCGAGCGUUAAUCGGAAUUACUGGGCGUAAAGGGCACGCAGGCGGAUAAUUAAGUCGGAUGUGAAAUCCCUGGGCUCAACCCAGGAAUUGCACCCGAUACUGGUUAUCUAGAGUAUGGUAGAGGGAAGUGGAAUUUCCGGUGUAGCGGUGAAAUGCGUAGAUAUCGGAAAGAACACCAGUGGCGAAGGCGGCUUCCUGGACCAAUACUGACGCUCAGGUGCGAAAGCGUGGGGAGCAAACAGG